UGCUGGUGGGUGAAAAGCUGUCAAUGCGCAGAGAAGACCCUCUCCGAGGUGGCUUCUCCUCCCUUCGGAGGUAGCUGAGAAGCAGCUGGCAGGAAGUGGAAGGCACCGAGUUGCUGGUGCCAUUGCACCCCAGCAGGCGAGGAGGAGCUGGGAAAAGAGAUAACUUCUCCUUGCAGGGUGCUUUCCUCCCGCUAACAAGCCGUCUCUCAGUUUGCCAGCCAGAUUUCCUCAACAUGUGUUUGCACACAUUGGCAGAUGUCCUCCUGACUGCUGGUCACUUGUACGCUGAUAUGGACGUGAACAUGAUGUCAUGGGAAGAAGUGGAGAAAGGAGAGGACAACAGAGGUGAAGCUUGGCUGUUAUUCAAAGGAACAGCCCACACGUGAGUUACGCACCAUCAGAGACAAAUUGUGCCCUUGAGACCAAUGUGCUGACUCUUUUAUCACCUAGCCACUCUGACCUUCCUGAUUCUCCCCUUCCCACACUCAGUCGCCAUGCUGUGAUUUAUAUACUUGCUCCAUUUUGUCUGUCUGUUCUCUGCGACAGGUUUGUGCAGCUGAUGCGGAGCUUAGUACAGCAAGGGCCUAAUCUUUACCUCGUGAUCCCCAAGUGUUCCUGAAAAAUAAUAAUGGCAGUGUUAAUAAACUUCAUGGCACUUAGGAGCAGGUAGAGGUAGAUCUGGUUCUUGCAGGGUAUAAACCAGCCCUAGAGAGGUUGAUUAUGGAAGAAGUCGUGGCCUCCAUCUUCAGGUACCCCACUGAUGCUCUUCAUUCAUCAGACCACUUGCUUUAGUUUCCUCAGUACUCCAAAGAGUUAGAGAGCCUCCUUCAGACUGCCCAAACUAAACUCCCCCUUGGAACUAAAGGCUAAAGAAGUGUCAAGCAUAAGGGCACCUGAGGGCCCUGAAGCUUUUAGGCCCUCAAUGAUCGAUCCUAUUCCUGUUAACUGGUUUCCACUCUCCCACAGAACUGUAGCAUUUCUGCAGGGAGAAGAGGUGAUAUUUUUGUCCCCGUCUAACACCAAAAGCAAGUGCUGUUAAUAAGCAAGCGAAACAUGGACCUUUUUUUUCCAGCAAGGCCACAUUUGCUUUCUCAGUGGAUAGAGCUGCUACUCUGCCUUUGCCUUUGCAUGGAGUGCAGAGAGGUUUGUGGGUAAGGCCACAUUAGAGGCAGGUCUCCUGCAGAGGUGGUCUCAGGGGCCCACUGUGCUAUGCUGGGACAUUGAGAGGGAUCUGAAAGAAGCCCAUGAAAAGGAGAGAGAAGAUUUAAAUAGCUUUUAUUCAAUUUCCUUGUUUUUCUUUUUUCUCCUUCUUGAAAGAAAGCCCUUUUCUCUUUUGCCUUAUUGAAAACACACCCACAUCAGGGUCUCUGAAAUCAGGCAGGGCUGUGCUUGGCAGGCCCCAUGGGGAAGCAGCAUGCACUCCAGCAGGAUUGCUCCUCUGGUGCAUUUUGUGGUUCUCCAUCCCCCCUUCUUCUGGUCAGCGUCUCACAUUCUCCAGGUACCCAAUGGCACUUUGGACUCCUUGGCUGACUCUGCCCCUCUCUGCUAGGGGCUGAUGGAUGGCCAGCAGCCAUGAGGUGG